rnacentral:lncRNA from 1 species
UUUUUCUUCCUAGAUGAUCUCACCGGAUUCGAAAUCACAUACCUUUUGGAGGUAAACUGUUAUUGCCACUGUUUUGCUGCUUAAACUAAUACAUGCAAAGGAUGAUAUAUUUUUGUACUUAGAACUUUUUAAUCAAAAUUGUUGAAUUGCAGCUCCCAGAACCAUUCAGUUUCAUUUUCACUUGGUUUGCUGCCGUGCCCCUGAUAGUUUAUUUAGCACAAUCCCUUACAAAAGUGGUUGUGAAAGACUCUUUGAUCCUAAAGGUAAAAACCCUUGUUCCAUCCCUUUCCCUUGGUACUUAUGAACUGCCCCAUAUGAAACUAAUUUUUAACUUUGCCUUACAGGGCCCUUGCCCAAACUGUGGUACUGAGAACGUCUCCUUCUUUGGCACCAUACUAUCAAUUUCCAGUGGUGGAACCACCAACACUCUUAAAUGUUCAAAGUAAGUCCACCAUUAACCAUAAUCUGUCUUUUCACCCUUCACAUUGCUGCAAAAUUUUUAAGUUCCCAACUCUUCUUUUCACUUCAGUUGUGAAACCACGUUGGAGUAUAAUGCGAAAACGAGGUUGAUUACAUUGCCAGAAGGAAGCCAAGCUUGAUUGCAGGAGAAAGUACUUCCAGAGAUCAACAUCAAGAAUGCUACUGACUCAUAAAGUUGGAGUGAAGAGUGUGAUGUAUGUUGUAAACCUAGUGGGUUAUGAUGUGCAGCUAAGUAGGAAAUUUUGAUAAGUGCUGCAUUGUAAAACAUGUAUCUGUUGUGUUUUUUUAUGUGGAACACUCUAUUUGUAAUUAAACAUGUAAUAUAUAUACAUAUUUAUACCUAAACAGGCAUGUUGACAAGAAGAGAAGAGAGCAAAAAUGUUGUGAAAAUCUUUAAAUUUAAUGAAAACCAUACUCUAUGCAAUGCUCUGAAAGAGUUUAGUUUCAUAAAAAAUCAUACAGCUGAAGUUUUCUUUUGAUUUCGUUCUUACCAUGCUGUUCAUAGUGGUAUCAUUUCUAAUUCAUAAAAUUAAUACAAUGCCGUUUGUCACACUACUCUUUUCAACAUGCAAAACAAUUCAUUUUGAUAAAUCCCAAAACAAUAGAAUUAUAGAAAAAUGAGAUGGAAAGAAUCUACAUUAAUCUAUUUUAACCAGUUUCAACAAAUUAGUUUCAUUUUUUUCACAAACAAUUUCUUAAGCUUCUAAAAGUUUUAAUAAUCUAAGUACCUUUUAAAUAUAUUGAAAAUUUGAUUAAAAUAACAUUUUUUUUACUAAACUUUGAAAAGUUACAAUUCACUCACUAAUUUUUUAUUAAAAUAACCAAACAGUCACUAACAAUAUUUUUCGUUACAAACAUAACGAAGAGCUGAAGUGACUCGUUAACUAGUCACAUUAGAUGUUAACUAGCUACGAUGGAAACCCAAUUUAAGAACCUUAACUGCUGGAAAAAGAAGAAGAAGAGAAAAAGAAGAUAAGAAAUAGAGAUACACACUUUGAUUCCACUGUAGAAACCCAGCUCAUACAGAGGACGAAACUCAACUCAGAGAUUGUAUUUGAUCGUCAGUUUUCUUGUUAGACCGUAACAAAAAAUUGGUUCGAGUGAUUAAUUUGUCACUUUUUGAUAACAUUAGUGACUGCUUUGUUAUUUUUUUCUAAAAUUUAGUGAUUGAAUUAAAAGUUUAGUGUCUAUUUUGUUAUUUUAUCAAAUUUAAGUGAUUGUUGGUAUAGUUUACCUAAAAAAUAGGUUUUAAAUAUGUUAGAGGUUACUACACUCUUUUAAAAUUUGAUUUUUGUAUUUUAAUAUUGAGAUAUUUAGUCUACAUAUUUUAUUUUAAAAUUUUGAUCAUUCAUCCAAUUUUGCAAUUUAAAAAAAGGUAAAAUAUUUUUUUAGCCUCAAUGUUUAUAGUUUUUUUUGUCAAUUUAAUUCUUAUUUUUUAAAAGCACAAAGAUUAUAAAAAGAAUUUAAAGAAAUAAAAGGUUUUUUUAUAUAUAUUUUUAGUACAAAAUCCUAAAAAAAUUAUAUAUAAUUUUCUAAAAAUCAUUUAAAAUUUUAAAAUAUAAAAAUUUCCAAAUUUAAAAAAAAAUGACAUUUACUUCUUAAAUGGUAAUAAGAUCUCUCCAAGAUCCAAAGUUUGAGCUAUUCAUUUAGUACCAUUAAAUCAAAUUUUAAUAUAACUUUUGAAUUAAAUUAAAAAUAAUAAACAAAUAGCUCAAAGUUUGGAAAGAUAUUAUUUCUAUUCAAGAAGUAAAUAACACCUUUCUUUUAAAAUAAAAUAAACUUCUUUUUUAUAUUUUUAUGAAUUUUCAAAGAACUUUUUUAUAUUUUUAUGUUCCUUUAAAAGUAAAGAACAAAUUAAUAAAUAAAAAAAAUAUAGGAGUCCAUUUCUCAUAGUUAAAUUAUAAAAAUUAAAUUUUAGAUAUAAAAAAGAGUAAAGAGAACUCUGGUAUAUUUAAACUUAAAUAAUAAUAAAUAAUAAAUAAAUGUCACAAGUCACAAUGUAUUAUAAAAUUGCUCUUGUAAUUACGUAAAAGAAACCUCACGAAACAACUCAACAAAGAUUUUUGGUUUAAUUAUGCUCCCACUCUCCAUACUUUUAGUAUAUUUGAAAUUUAAUCCUUUAAUUUUUAAUAUUGAUAAUUUAGUUUCUAUAAUCUUUUGAUUUAGUGAAGUUCAAAGGAUAGCAUCAUAAAAUGAAUUCGGUCAUGUCGAAACCAUUUUUUUGAAAAAAACAAAAAUUUUAGGUUGUCGACUUUAAAAAAUGAAAAUUGGGAGUUGGCACCAAUCUUUUAUUAAGGUGUAAUUGGGUCACCUAAAAAUGACUUUGGUCUACAAAUUUUAGAAAAACGGGCCCGGGAGUCGGUUACGUAUGAGGAAGGAUUAGCACCCUCAUUACGCCCAAAAUUUGGUACCUAGUUAAUUAAUAAAUGUCUUAAUGUCGAAAAUUUAAAAAUCUUAAUCCUUAGCAAAAACUUAAAACGUUACAUAUUAAUACCCUUAUCAUUUCAGAGAAAUAAAAUACUACACCCAAUACGUUAGGGCACGACAUUCUAAUUUUCCCCAAAAAUGAAUUUGGGCAAAAUACUAGUGCAAUAAAAAAUGUAAAAGAAUAUCCAUUUAUUCAAGAUUUAAGAAAUCGCGGCCCAAUACGUUAGGGCACAAUUCCUCUAAAAUCCCAAACUCGGAAUAUUUCCUUUAUUAUUUUUUUUAAAAAAUAUUCAUUUCGAGAAAUCAAUGCGUCACAUCCAAUACGUUAGGACACAACGUGUUGAAUUCCCAAUAAUGAGUUCUUAUUUUUUUUUUUGAUUAAAGAGAAAUACUCGAUUGUUAGAUUUUCAAAAAAAUCGGAACCCAAUACGUUAGGGCUCAAUUUCCUUGAGAAAUCCUAAAUACGAGUAUUACCUCUAUUUUGAAGCGUUUUAUUUUAAAAUUAAAUAAGAGAUAGAGUAAUGUUAUGUUGAAUAUGUGAAUGAAUGCCCCUUAAACAAAUAUCAAUAAUAAAUACAACAAUUUCAUAGAAAUAACAUGAAUAAACAAAUAAAUAAACAAAAUAAUGACGUGCAAAAUAUCAAAUAAAUAGGCAAGAUAAUAAUAAAAAUAUGCAAACAUAAAUUAAUAAGCGAAUAAAAAUAUACCUGUACACAUAAAAAAAAUACAUAAGUUUUAAACAAUUAAUAUAAUAUUAAAAUUAAUUAAAUAAAUUAAACAUGUGUAUGUAAAAUAUAAGUAUGCGAAAAUUUUAGUAUAAAAAAAACAUAAAUACAUGCUUAAAUAUACAUAUAAAAAAUAAUAAUAAUUGCAUAUGAGAAUUAUAAAAUAAAAAUUAAAAGAAUACAAUUGCAUUAUCAAAAAUAUUGAUUUUUAAAGAAAAUAUGAAAAUGGACUAAAUUGGAUCGCCAGUAAAGAUUCGGGGUAAAUUCGUAAAUAAAUAAAGUCUGGAGGACUUAAUUGAACACUCGAAUUACAUAGAGGGGCUGGAAAGGCAAAUUUCCCUUCUCCUCUAAACGACGCCGUUCAAAUUAGACCAAAUUGAAAUAAAAAUAAAUAAAAGGGUAAAUUAAAAAAAAAAAAAAACUUAAUUACAAAAACAUUAAAAGGCGGAGGGGUUAAAUAAAAUUCGCAGUGGUAUCACCUUCUCCCUUUUUUUUAAAAUCGUAAAUAAGUAAAAAAUAAUCAAAAGAAAAAAAUAGUAAGCCACCUUUAAAAAACUGCCAAUCGUUCUCUUUUUUUAUUCCUCCUUUUUUUUUACAAUGAAGGGAGAGGCCUCUAUUUAUAGUUGAGCCUCUCCAAAUCCAACGGUACAAACCAAUUAUAUCAAUGGCUGAGAUUAAAGGGUAUCUACAAAUUAAAUCUCUAAUAUUACAAAAUCAUAUCUUCUAAGAUUACAUAUCAUAUCUAAGAUUAUAUAUCAUAUCUAAGAUUAUAUAUCAUAUCUAAGAUUAUAUAUCAUAUCUAAGAUUGCAUAUCCCUGAAGAUUAUGUUUCCAUAAGCUUGUAGAUAGACCUUCAACAUUUUCAAGUAAUGGGCAAUUCCGAUCGGGCCAAAUGAUAUUACUUUGGGUUUUUUUUUUGUGAGCCGGGGCUAAAAUUGGGUAUUACAGCUGCCCCUCUUUUCUCGUUGUCGUGUAACAGGAACGAAGCAAAGACUUUAGAAAUGGCCAAUUUUUGCCCAGUCACGCUGGAUCUUAAUGCUCUUCUUCUUCAAGCAGCCACAUUCCAUCCUACUGCAUCUUCAAAUGUAUAAGAAUUGGUGCUUCAAUCUACUCCACUGCAAUAUCAAGGAGAUAGGACUUACAAUCUUCAACCUAUUCCACUGCUGACCAGGGAGAUAUGAUUACUGGCUUCAAUGUACUCCACUGUAACCACAGGGAGGUAAAAUCCGCCAUAUUCGAUCUGCUCCACUACUGCUUAGGGAGAUAAGAUCUGAAAUCUUCAAUCUAUUCCACUGUUGUCCAGGGAAGUAGAAUUACCGGCUUCAAUGUACUCCACUAUAAUCAUAGAGAGGUUAAAUCUACCAUCUUCGAUCUGCUCCACUACUGCUUAGGGAGAUAAGAUCUGAAAUCUUCAAUCUAUUCCACUGUUGUCCAGGGAAGUAGAAUUACUGGCUUCACUGUACUCCACUAUAACCACAGGGAGGUAAAAUCCGUCAUCGUCGAUCUGCUCCACUACUGCUUAGGGAGAUAAGACCUGAAAUCUUCAAUCUAUUCCACUGUUGUCCAGGGAAGUAGAAUUACUGGCUUUAAUGUACUCCACUGUAACCACAGGGAGGUAAAAUCUGUCAUCUUCGAUCUGCUCCACUACUGCUUAGGGAGAUAAGAUCUGAAAUCUUCAAUCUAUUCCACUGUUGUUCAGGGAAGUAGAAUUACUAGCUUCAAUGUACUCCACUGUAACCACAGGGAGGUAAAAUCCGCCAUCUUCGAUCUGCUCCACUACUGCUUAGGGAGAUAGGAUCUAAAAUCUUCAAUCUAUUCCACUGUUGUCCAGGGAAGUAGAAUUAUUGGCUUCAAUGUACUCCACUAUAACCACGGGGAGGUAAAAUCUGCCAUCUUUGAUCUGCUCCACUACUGCUUAGGGAGAUAAGAUCUGAAAUCUUCAAUCUAUUCCACUGUUGUCCAGGGAAGUAGAAUUACUGGCUUCAAUGUACUCCACUGUAACCACAGGGAGGUAAAAUCCGCCAUCUUCGAUCUGCUUCGCUGUCAAUGCAGGAAGGCAAGAUCUGUUAUCCUUAACCUGCUCUACUACAACCGAGGAAAGCAAGGCUUUGUUUUCGAUCUGCUUCGCUGUCGAUGCAGGAAGGCAAGAUCUACUAUUUUCACUGAUCUAUUCUCUGGGGAACAUGACCUGUAUAAUGAACCUAAUUAUGCCUAAUGAUUAGGAUGGCAUGAUCAAAAUGCACCAAAUGCUCCUAACUAGACAUGUGUGAAUAGCGUUUGCAUGAAUGCAAAAUUUUAUUUUUCUAAGAAUGAUCCUGCUUAGGUUGUCAUUACUCGAAGUUUAUUAAGGCUUUGUGACUGGCAUGCUACAACGCCUUCUUGCAUGACUGGCUUUUCUAAAGAAACAUUUAGCCAGGUUGCCCCCCACUGUGAACCUCCAAGUUUAAUCCAUUGGGGCGCAAAAAUUCAUACCAUCGUUCUCCCACUGUAACCCAAGAGUAUAUGGCUUUUCUUCAAUCCUCUCCUAUCACAAUUCAAGGAUACAGGAUCUAAAUCUUUCUAGUCUCUUACACCAUUCCCAGGGUGUCGUACCAAAGGCUCAUGUACAAAUGAAGGCUCUCUUCCUGAGGCAACCUCUUUCUAUUGCCUGGUGAUCAUUACUUGCUUGUUGAUUUAGGCUUUGUCAUCAACACGAAAUCUUAUUAUUUUGUUCAACCAAUGUUUUUGACAACAAAAUCCAAAGCGAAAGUCCUAGUUUAGACUCUUCCUUUUCAGAUUUCCAAACUUUAAACCUGGUGCGUUCUAAAUAAUAGUCCUGUUUCAGGCUCUUGUAUUAUUUAGAAACUUCUAGAUUAAUAUGCAAAACUUUCCUUGUGAAAGUUUUAUUAGUCCAUUGAUCAUUAUUCCAAUGCAACAUGCUUACAAAAAGGUCAUAACAAGGGAUAAGAAUAAAUUAUAGUAAAAAAAGAUAACAAAGAAAUUGAUUGGGAAUGUGUAUAUUUGAAAAGAAUGAAGUAUUCCAAGAAUAACAAAUUCAAUAGUAUGAAAAUUGGGUGCCCCAGAUAUCGCAACUUGAACUUCUCUGUACAAACUUUUUGAAGAUCCUUUUGAGUUUGACAUGUGUUUAGGAGAUCCACAGUACUCUGCUAAUGCCCCAAGAUUUUGCCUACUCUUUCCUGUUGAUUCAGAUAUAACUAUAUCACCACAUGCCCCAAUCUGAUCAAGAUUCGAGUUGCUCUGAUCACCUCAUGCCCCAUUUUGAUCAAUAUUUGAGCCGCCCUUUUCGGGUUUUCAACUCAAAUCCCCUUUGGUCUCAAAGCGUCCUUUGCAGAUUUUCACCUUGGCAUCUCCUUUUUUUUUGAAAUAUUUUUUAUUGAAUCUGAACUCGUAAGAUUAGGCAUGUUCUUGUUAUCCCUUCUGAUCAAAGUCGAUGCUUUUCCGGAUAAGGCUUUCCACAUAAGGUCCUUCCUAGCUUGGGAUGAAGUUCUUUUUGUAUGGGAAGGAUCUUCUUCAAUACCAGGUCCCUCUCAAGGAAUUCUUUAGGGCGGACCUUUUUUGUGAGCUCGCAUCAUUUACUUUUGGCGCAUUUGACCAUGACGGAUAACUUUGAACAUUCUUCCUCAAUCGGUAUUAGAUCCAAAAACUCAGAGAGAAAGAAUCUUGUCUUCAAUAGCAAAACCGCAAUGGACCUAAGAGAAAGACAUUGCCCUGGUAGAUUUUUUUUUAUUUUUUUGUCAUCCCCUUUUUGGCGAUAUGGCAUUAAUCAUGAACAGACUGCAAACUUUUGAUAUUGUGUUGUUGUUUAGUACAUUGUCAGAUAUGAUCCUUUUGGUGUUCCAUACUGAUUCUUCACGAAUUUGCUAACUGUCGACUUUGUGACAUUGACAUAUGAAGCAGCUUCCACCCAUUUAGUAAAGUAAUUGACGACCACAAAGAUGAAUCAAUGAUCGUCAGACUCUUUUGGCUAGAUUGACCAAAUGACCUUUAUACCCCACGUAUGGAGAAGUCAAGUAUCCCAAUGAUUCUUUGUAGGGUAAGAUCUGUUUCUCAACUUGUUCUGCCAUCCUUAACAGGUCCGAAAAUAGGCUACAAUCUAUGCCAUCUUCAAAGUCAUGAGAUCCCUCUAAACACAUGUCUCGCUCAAAAGGAGAUUCUGAGUCUGUAGUAGCGUCACUCAUGUCGUUGAUAUCUAGGAACCCAUAGUAAGUUCCAAAGAAUAUACAAAGAAUGUGCGAAUUUAUGAAUAAUUAUUUGUACAAUAUAAUUAUGAAUGAGAGAAUAAUGUGGAAGAAAAUCCAAAAGAAUGAAAGAAUAAAAAUGUGGAAGAAAAUCCAAAAGAAUGAAAGAAUAAAAAGAAUAAAAAAGUAUGAAUGCAAAGAUGUAUUUUAUUAGAAUAAUGACGUUUAGACAUGAGCCUAUUUCGCAAAGGAAUUUUUAUCAUUUUUAGGCUAAAAACAACAAAAUUGUUCUGAACAUUACUCUAAAUAAACUCUAAAAACUACAGAGAUUUCUUCCGCAGUUCAAUUACGUAGAACACCUCUAAGUUGAUAAGGGCGAAUAUCUUCAAGGUUUCUUGUAAAUUUUGUCUUCAAAUAUGGCAUUGAUGUGUACGCCUCUCAACACUUCUUCAUACAUCACAUUCAUCCCCAUUAUCAAAUGUGAUUGGGUAGCGGAUUUCCUUCACUAGAUGAGUCAUCAAACUUGACAACAUUCAGGUUGAUGAGUCUUUCAACUAGCUUUUUGAAGGUAGUGCAAUUCUCUUAUUGAAUGCCCCGUAACUCCCGCAUGAUAAUCGCAUUUUACACUUGCGUCAUACCAUUUGGGAUACGGAGGCUGUGGAAGCUUCACAUGAAAAGGAGAAACAACAUGUGCAUCAAACAAUUUUUGAUACAUCUCCUUAUACGAUAUUGGAAUUGGCGUGAACUGGAGCUUCUCAGUGUCUUGCUUCACACUUGAUUCUUGUCUUAAUGAACCCUGCUGAUUAGUAACCACCUUUCUCGGUUGAUUUACCGUAAUCGAUUUGCUGUACGUAUUCACGCAGUUCACCUUAUUUUUUUUCCCUUUGAGGCUUGCCUUCUGUUAUUUCUUCCAACAUCAAUCUUUCCACUUCUGAUAGUAUUUUCUACCAUUUCACCAUUCAUGAUUAUGUCAGAAAAUCUUUUUAUGGCGCUUUCCAACAUAUGUGUGAUGAAUGGAGCCUUCAAUGUGUUAACGAAAAGCAUUGCCAUUUCCUUUUCCAAAAGCGGUGGCUAAACUUGGACGGCGACCUCCCUCCAUCUCUGUUCGUAUUGCCUAAAACUUUUGCCAGGCUUCUUCUUCAUGUUCUGAAGAGUAAUUCUAUCAGGUACCGUGUCAGUCACAUGGCUAUACUGUUUUAAGAACGCCUGUGCUAGAUCUCUCUAUGAAUUAAUCUGGGUACGGCUCAAUUGAUUGUACCACUUGGAUGCUACCCCUGCGAGGCUAUCCUGGAAACAAUGUAUCAGCAGUUGGUCAUUAUUAACAUACCCAGUCAUCCGUCUGCAAAACAUAGUAACAUGAACUUCGGGGCUACUAGUUCCAUUGUACUUCUCAAACUCAGGCAUUUUGAAUUUAUAAGGGAGUACUAAAUCCGGAACCAAGCUCAAUUCUUUAGCGUCAAUUCCAUGGUAGCCCUUAGUACUUUCCAUCGCUCUAAGUUUUUCCUCCAGCCAUUUGUACUUUUCUUCGAGCUGUUUCGACAAUUCACCAUUCAUUUUCUCAACUGUCUCAUCGAAGUCAGGGAUAGCGGGAUUAGCAAGGUUGUCUCCAGGGUUAGAGCCUAAUCUAGCUCAAAAGUUCAUUGCUGUUACAUCAUCGGCCUGAAACUACUGAGGCUUGAUGGUGACAGAGGACUUGUACGGAUGUACCUCAACUUGCUGAGGGGUAAAGCCUAGAGGAUAGACAGGUCCCUCAUUGUCUAUUUCUUCAACAUUGAGUACAGAGCCUUUUCCUUUAUUAGUUCCCUUGUUCAACCAUUGAGUUAACUGAGCCAUCAUACUCCCUUGAGAUUCCAUCAUUUUGUCUAUCAUUUUUUGUUGCUCAUUCAUUUGUUGUUGAAGUUGCUCCUGCAUUUCCUUUUGGAACUGUUCUAGCCUUUCCAUCCUUUGAUCCAUGUCCUUAGUUUUUGAUCGAGUACCGUAGUGGUGUUUAGUAGGCUGGUUGGUUUCCAGAUUAACUGAGGAAUGAUUUAUAUCAAUUAGAAUCUUUUAGUGGACUUUAAUGCUUAUGAUAUCAUGUAAUGCGAAUGCAUGAAAUGAAUGUAUAAAGAGACGUUGAUUCUGAUUCAAUUCCAUUUAGAGAACUUUACUAGAAAACAAAUCUUUUUACAUAAAAUGAAUAUUUAUACGGCCUUGCCCUCAUAGGCGAAGACAUUCGAUCCUCUUCUUCAUUCAAGCGUUAAGAUAACUCUCACGAACUUUUCAAAAAGGACGUCUCUUCUAUCUCCUUUUUGCUCGAUCCGGGUCGCAAUUCGUUGCUCACUCAUCCUCGUGAUGCUCGUUGGCUUCUCUUUAAGAAAGUUCAGUGGCUCUCAAAUAAUCUUUAUCAUCUUGAAUCCUUGGGUAACGGAGCCAUAGUCGUGUAGUCCUCCAUUAAAUUAUCAUCAUUCUCUUAUCACGUGUUCUUGGACCAUAUUCAGACAACCAUAUUGUCAUCCACUUUAUCAAGAAACCUAUUUUCUUAUGACAAGCUCUCUAUUUAACAACUGAACGUGAAUCAACACCUCUUUUUUAUGAUGAAAUGAAAUAUCAUGUCAUGCAAUCAAAAUAAAACACAAAAGGUCAGUAACAUAUAUAAACACAGAAAAUAUCAAGAAAUAGUAAAACAUCUAUUCGGAUAUCUACCAGGGUUUAGUGCGGUUCUACCUAAGGUAAGCUCCUAAGGCUCAUUAUAUGCGGUUCGGUUCUAAAGUAAAGGUACCCGAACUAGCAGAUUCCUCAAUCCUCACCCAUUAUAGGCUCAUAUGGAUCGAGUUCGGUUCAAGGGAAUACAUUUCCUUAUGGCUGCACGGAGAUGAAAAUCUCACGAAGACAUAGGUACGGAUGUAUCCCGGAAGCAAUCCACUACCCUACACGGAGGUGAAAACCUCACGAAGGCAUAGCUUCUUACUCCCACUUAAAAGGGUAAAAUUGUUCAGCUCAUGAAAUGUAUAAUGCAAACAAUAUUUAAACAAGAAGAUAAUGAAGGAUGUCAUGAGUUUUUUAUAAAAAAUAUUUUCUCGACUAUAAGACAAUAAUUAAUCAACUUUGUGGCUCGACUCUCUUAUUUUUUUUAAAAAAAACGUCCCCAGCGCAGUCGCCAAGCUGUCGAAACUAUUUUUUUGAAAAAAACAAAAAAUUUAGGUUGUCGACUUUAAAAAAUGAAAAUUGGAAGUCGGCACCAAUCUUUUAUUAAGGUGUAAUUGGGUCACCUAAAAAUGACUUUGGUCUACAAAUUUUAGAAAAACGGGUCCGGGAGUCGGUUACGUAUGAGGAAGGAUUAGCACCCUCAUUACGCCCAAAAUUUGGUACCUAGUUAAUUAAUAAAUGUCUUAAUGUCGAAAAUUUAAAAAUCUUAAUCCUUAGCAAAAACUUAAAACGUUACGUAUUAAUACCCUUAUCAUUUCAGAGAAAUAAAAUACCACACCCAAUAUGUUAGGGCACGACAUUCUAAUUUUCCCCAAAAACGAAUUUGGGCAAAAUACUAGUGCAAUAAAAAAUGUAAAAGAAUAUCCAUUUAUUCAAGAUUUAAGAAAUCGCGGCUCAAUACGUUAGGGCACAAUUCCUCUAAAAUCCCAAACUCGGAAUAUUCCCUUUAUUAUUUUUAAAAAAAAUAUUCAUUUCAAGAAAUCAAUGCGUCACAUCCAAUACGUUAGGACACAACGUGUUGAAUUCCCAAUAAUGAGUUCUUAUUUUUUUUGAUUAAAGAGAAAUACUCGAUUGUUAGAUUUUCAAAAAAAUCGGAACCCAAUACGUUAGGGCUCAAUUUCCUUGAGAAAUCCUAAAUACGAGUAUUACCUCUAUUUUGAAGCGUUUUAUUUUAAAAUUAAAUAAGAGAUAGGGUAAUGUUAUGUUGAAUAUGUGAAUGAAUGCCCCUUAAACAAAUAUCAAUAAUAAAUACAACAAUUUCAUAGAAAUAACAUGAAUAAACAAAUAAAUAAACAAAAUAAUGACGUACAAAAUAUCAAAUAAAUAGGCAAGAUAAUAAUAAAAAUAUGCAAACAUAAAUUAAUAAGCGAAUAAAAAAUAUACCUGUACACAUAAAAAAAUACAUAAGUUUUAAAUAAUUAAUAUAAUAUUAAAAUUAAUUAAAUAAAUUAAACAUGUGUAUAUAAAAUAUAAGUAUGCUAAAAUUUUAGUAUAAAAAAAACAUAAAUACAUGCUUAAAUAUACAUAUAAAAAUAAUAAUAAUUGCAUAUGAGAAUUAUAAAAUAAAAAUUAAAAGAAUACAAUUGCAUUAUCAAAAAUAUUGAUUUUUAAAGAAAAUAUGAGAAUGGACUAAAUUGGAUCGCCAGUAAAGAUUCGGGGUAAAUUCACAAAUAAAUAAAGUCUGGAGGACUUAAUUGAACGCUCGAAUUACAUAGAGGGGCUAGAAGGGAAAUUUUCCCUUCUCUAAACGACGCCGUUCAAAUUAGACCAAAUUGAAAUAAAAAUAAAUAAAAGGGUAAAUUAAAAAAAUAAAAAAAACUUAAUUACAAAAACAUUAAAAGGCGGAGGGGCUAAAUAAAAUAAAUAAAAUUCGCAAUGGUAUCACCUUCUCCCUUUUUUUAAAAUCGUAAAUAAGUAAAAAAUAAUCAAAAGAAAAAAAAUAGUAAGCCACUUUUAAAAAACUGUCAAUCGUUCUUUUUUUUUAUUCCUCUUUGUUUUUUUACAAUGAAGGGAGAGGCCUCUAUUUAUAGUUGAGUCUCCCCAAAUCCAACAGUACAAAUCAAUUACAUCAACGGCUGAGAUUAAAGGGUAUCUACAAAUUAAAUCUCUAAGAUUACAAAAUCAUAUCUUCUAAGAUUGCAUAUCAUAUCUAAGAUUGUAUAUCCCUGAAGAUUAUGUUUCCAUAAGCUUGUAGAUCGACCUUCAACCUUUUCAAGUAAUGGACAAUUCCGAUCGGGUCAAAUGAUAUUACUUUGAGUUUUUCUUUUUUUGUGAGCUCGGGCUAAAAUUAGGUAUUACAUGUCAAUAUUAAACUUGUUGAAGACUAAAUAAGCAAAAAAAAAAAGAGGUUAAAUAUGAAUUUGUAAAGUUUCUAAUUAUGAAGAUGAGGUUAUAAGGAUCUUUAGCAUUGUUUUAAAGAAGCAAAGUAAAAGUUAAUAUAUUUUUUCUUACAUGGCUUUCGCGCGACCAAACCAGCUUUUUUUUUUCGUUUUAAAAAGUUCAAAUCAUUUAAUUUGCGAAAUUUACUGAUCGGAGUUAUAAACUAAAAUUUAAUUACAAAAUAAAAAAUUAGAGAGACUAAAUUUUUGAAAUUAAAAGUAGGGAAUAAAUUUUAGAUGUGCAGGGAUCGAGAGCAGAAUAAAAUCUUUAAAAAAAAAAACAAUAUCACAGUGGUCAACUUUCCUUCUAUCAUUGAUCAUCUAAUUAACCUACUAGAGCACGAAAUAGAAGCUGCCCCCACGUUGAAGAUCAUUAAAAAACAAUAUCAAAGGAUAGAAGAAGCAUUACAUCCGAUCCAUUUCCAAAAAGAGAAUUUGCGUUUGACUUAAGACAAUUUAUCUUCGUGAGUGUCACGAAGGCAUGAAAGUUGGUUUUUGCCUUUGAUCCUUGUGCUAAACGUUGGUAUAUAAAGGAAACACAUACAUAUACAAUAGUCAUCAAGCACUCUUCUAAUUUGUUUUAGAACUCGUCUCCAAGGGAAAAAUAAACCAUGACUUCUUUUGAUCCAUGGAGUUUCAACUUCUUUUCGAUGACGCUUGCAACGUUGGCCAUCAUCGUCAGCAAAUCUUUAGUCACUGUUGCAUUACCAAUCGAGUUCCGGCCAAGCCCUUGGUCUCUUGCCCAUGCCACCUUUUAUGGCGACGAAACCGCCUCCGAGACGCUGGGUAUGUUCAUCAUAUAAUCAUCUUCAUAAUGGCUAGUUAUUGAUGAGUGCAUAUUUUCACUUGUUAUGGUGACAGGAGGAGCUUGUGGUUAUGGGAAUUUGUUUAGCAAUGGUUAUGGUACGGACACAGCUGCUCUAAGUACAACGUUGUUCAACAAUGGUUUUGCUUGUGGGACAUGUUACCAGAUAAAGUGUGUUGAGUCAACUUGGUGCUACCCUGGGGUUCCAUUCACCACAGUGACUGCUACCAAUCUUUGCCCUCCAAAUUGGGCCCAAGACUCCAACUACGGUGGCUGGUGCAACCCUCCACGAGUCCACUUCGACAUGUCCAAGCCCGCUUUUAUGAAAAUUGCACAAUGGAAAGCUGGCAUUGUCCCUGUCAUGUAUAGAAGGUAUAUUUAAAAUUUCAGUUUGAUUAUUCAACAUGAAUUUACAUAUGAAGAAGGACGUUAUGAACCAUGAUCAACUUGGAUUCCAAUGGUUGCAGGGUUCCAUGUGUAAGGCCGGGGGGCCUUCGAUUUUAUUUCCAAGGAAAUGGGUACUGGUUGUUGAUAUACGUGAUGAAUGUAGGAGGCGGGGGUGACAUUGCCCAAAUGUGGGUUAAAGGAAGCAAAACAGGGUGGAUUAGCAUGAGCCAUAACUGGGGAGCUACAUAUCAGGCAUUUGCAACUCUUGGAGGCCAAUCUCUUUCCUUUAAGAUCACUUCAUACACAUCCAAGGAGACUAUCAUUGCCUGGGAUGUUGCACCUGCUAAUUGGAAUGAAGGAUCCACUUACACCACAGAUGUGAACUUCCAUUAAUCCACAAAUUCACAAUACCUCUUUUUGUUUUUUAGCUUGCCCUUUUUUUCUAGCCUCUAUUUUCAUUUGUACUUUCUACAGCAUAGGCAACUGAGUAGCUCCAUGGUUCAAUUUUUUCUUUUACAUGUAAAAACUAUUUCUGCAGAUAAAUUGUAUUUUGAUAAAUAUCUGCUAAGAUUGAAAUAAAGAAAUCAAAAGAUUUGCUAUUAUAAUUCAUGUCUUAGGCCUGAGCUAUAAACCUAGAUUAACCAAGCAUGAAGCCAUGUGUGCUUGGGGACCUAAUGAGAGAGGUAAAAAGAAAUGGAAUGGGAUGUCAUAUGGAUAGCUAGCAUGAGACCCACAAAUUUAUUAAGAGUGGGAAACAUGUUAAAAACACAACAUGAGUAGUGAGCCCCCUAAAGAAGGAAAUGUACCCUCAUUUCAAUCACACAGCACGCCACCUUCCUUUUAUAAAUUGCUUUUUUGAUAUGAGGGGUCAUCAUCAUCAACCCACCCCCCAAAUCAUUUCUCCCAAUCUCGUCAAAAGUUUUCUUCCCAUGCCACAAACCCAUAAAGGCAAAUUUAUUAAUGUAUAUUCCAAAAUCACUAUGUCGCCAGUCUAAAAGCAAAUUACGUAGCGGUGGCUAUUGCUUGUUAUAAACUCAAAAGCCCUACUAAAAUCAUAUAAUAUUCAGUAAUUUUCUAUGUGGAUCGUAUAUGGGUUGAUAGCAAAGAACAAGGGGAAAUCCCAUGCCCCCACAUCAUCUACAAGAGUCAAUGCUGCAAUGUUACAGCUAUGUCACUUAGAUUCUACCUUGGACACCCCUAUAUUGCAAAAAGGCAAACAAACAACAACUUUCUUUUCCCUUCAAUUCAAAGCCUUUAUCAUCUAUAAUCUUCCCAAAACACUACAAACAUUUCCUCUUUGCAACAUCAGAACUUGUCACAUCUAGAAGAGAUCCUAAGAUCCCUCUCAUGGGCUUUGAUCUUUUCUCUUUCAUAUUCAUAAUAUUUUCAUGGGCAUCAUUUCUCUCAAUGAAAGCUGAAGCUGAAGCUGAAGCUGAAGGGAUUAAAUCAGCUCGCCUUCUUGAUCUUCUCAUUAGGGACUACACUGUGAAGUCUCUUGACAGGGACUUGAGAACAGGUAUUGUACACACUGUAACUUUACCUGCAAAUUUCUCUGGCAUCAAAGUGGAUACAGUAAGGUUCAGAUGUGGAAGUCUUCACAGAUAUGGUGCUCAGGUUAAGGAAUUUCAUCUGGGAAGUGGUGUGAUUGUGCAGCCUUGUGCAGAGAGAGUGAUGGUAGUAAGACAAAACUUGGGUUAUAAUUGGUCAUCCAUCUAUUAUGCUAACUAUGAUCUAUCAGGUUACCAGCUGGUGUCACCUAUACUAGGCCUCCUCGCUUAUAAUGCUGACAGUGAUCUGAGUUAUGGUAGCCCUUUUGAGCUUGGGAUUCUUGCCAGGGAAAAACCAAUUAAAAUAGAUUUCAGCAACAUUACAAAGGCAUCCAACAAGACAGGAAACUGGCCAUUAUGCGCUAGUUUUGAAGGAAAUGGCAAAGUAACAUUGAAGAAGCAAGUAUCACCCAAUGUUUGUGUUGCAACCAAGCAUGGCCAUUUCGGUUUGGUAAUGGAAUCACCACCACCGUCGUUGCCAGUGAGGAAGAAGAUCAGCAGAUGGAAACUGGUGGUGGGAAGCUCGGUGGGAGCUGCUUUGGGUGCUUUCCUCUUAGGGUUGCUUUUAGUGGCAAUGUUUGUUAAAGUGAAGAAGAAAGCAAGAAUGGAGGAAUUGGUGAGAAGAGCGUAUGAAGAGGAAGCUCUUCAAGUUUCCAUGGUUGGACAUGUAAGGGCUCGAACAACACCUACAAUCUAACAUGAUCUUUGAGUAUCUACGAUCAUUCUUUUGGAAAGGUUAGCUCUAUUUGUACCUGAAAUAGAAAAACAAAAUCCAACCAAAUAUUCUUAUGUUCAAUAUCCAGAAACAAAACAACUCUGUUUUUCAAAGGAUAUGUUGGUUCACUUCAUUAUUCAGUCAGUGUCUAGGAAAAUGACAACCCUGUCCAGGAUAUGUUCUUUUUUUUACAUUUCUUACUAAAGGAUUCAGCAUUCUAUAUCUUGUUUAUUUGAAAUUUCGGAUUUCAAAUAGCAUAAAGGGGAAGGGUUUUUCUUUUCUUUUUGGUGUACAAUACGAUAAGUUAGUCAAAAAGCCAUGACCAUGAGCUUUAAGUAUUUUCUGAAAAUGAUUGUAACUUUCACUGACAAUUAAAGGACAAAAGAAACCCAAAGUGCCCCAUUAACCCCUCAUCCAUCCCCACCCCCAUCAACAUGCUUGAGAUCAGAUCAACAAAACAAGAAAAAAGUUUGCAUGUAAAACAUUGGAUACUGCUUUUUUUUUUUUUAAGAAGAUAAGUUAUUGGCUGAGAGAAGAGACUCUUUGAUUGAUAGGUGUGGCAAAGUUUGAACGCAAAGACUACAUGCUUUGCAAAUCCUUUUUCUCCUUUGUGUAUCAAAAGUCAAAACAUAAUUAUCAGCCAAAAACCCUUGAAAUUUAAGCCUUAGGGUGUAUGGACCACAAUUCGUUGGCUUCCAUAUUAUAUAACAAGAGAUUUUCAGCUUCUAAUGCUUUUAAUGAAUUCAAAUGUUAGAUAUAACAGACUAAUAUAUGAAUUAAAAAAAAAAGUAUUCUCGUGCAAUUGAAAAGGAAAAACAAUUAUUUCCCUCAGUUAAGAUAGAAAAUAGGUCUUGGCUAUGCCAGCCAAAAGUGGGACCUUUAAUUCAUGGAUGUUAUAAUUAACCUCCAUUUCUUUUUCUUAUAUUAUGGCCUAUAGCUUCUAUUGUUACAAAGAAUGCAAAUUCUGGAUAAAACAAAUUGUAUAUAAACCUAAAUCCGUUGAAUAAAAUAAAUUAAUUGAGUUAGAAUUUCUUAUGCAGUAUGUUUAUACUUUUUCGGCUAUGGAUCAGGUUUAGUGAUGAAUUUGGGUGUUCUCGAGCUCUUGCAAGACGAGCAUAAGCUAAAGGGUGCUGAAGCUUGUGCUUGGGAAUAAUGCUUAAGUCGGUCUCAAAGCUUUGAAAUAGAGAAAUCAAGGGAUAAAGUUGAAAAUAAUGAAUAAGAGAUGAAGAUAAGACAUGUGAAGGUGGAGAUGAAAGACCCCCGUGACCUAAUGAUGACCUAAAAAAAGCUUGGACAUCAUUUUCUUUGCGAAAUAUGUAAAAGUAAAAGCUAACUUGUUUGGCUUGAUGGUAUUCUCCGAGGGACUAGGCUCUAUCAAGUGUGUGGGAGCUAAAGAAAUAAGAGUGAAUAAGGUGAAAGGUUUGCUACUAACAAGUAGGCGUUUACUGCUAAGAAGCGGAAAUUGUCGAGGAAGAGAAGUUUGCUGUUGAAAAUCAGUUGUUGAGGAGUUUAUUAGAUGACUGAGAUUUUUCUUAGAUAUUCUAAAAGUGUAUGUCAAUCUUUUUGAUAUUUUAGCUUGACAGAGCAAUUAUAAGCAGUUAAGCAUGAUACACCUAAUGUGUCAGUUUGUAUUUGGUUAGGUGAUACAAUCUUUUUGAUGUAAUACUUGCUGAAGUUUUAGGGUAUGAUUAACCACUGCAACAGCAGUAGUCUUUUGUAUAUUAUACACCAAAAUCUUAAUGAAAGAUAGACUAUUCAGUUGUAAAAUUUUUCCGGUGUUGUUUUCUUUUCCAACUCUCUCUUUUAUUCUGUUCCAUAACUUAACUUGGUAUUAGAGCUUAAAAAAAUUAACUUUGAGGGAUUGUGUGUGAGCUGAAAAAUUAGAAAAAAAAAUCUUCUUCUUCUACACAAAAAAACUUUUUAGAACCUGAUAUGACUUCCAGCAACUUUGCACCCCCAAAUCCUCAUAUAUUCACAAGAGAAAACUACCCUAUUUGGACAGUGAAGAUAAAGGCAUACCUGAGGGCUUUUGACCUGGGGGAUGCUGUAGAAACAAGUAGAGAUGUGCCUCCAUUGAGAGCAAAUCCAACUAUUUCUCAAAUCAAGCAACAUAAUGAGGAGGUAACUAAGAAAUACAAGGCUCUCUCUUGCAUUCACUCUGCUAUAACAGAUGUGAUUUUUACAAGGAUAAUGACCUGUGAAACUGCAAAUGAAGCAUAGGACAAGCUCAAGGAAGAGUUCCAAGGAAGUGACGGAACAAGGCAGAUUCAAGUGCUGAAUUUGUGGAAAAAGUUCGAGGUUCUAAAGAUGAAAGAGUCAGAGAUUGUUAAGGAGAAUUCUAACAGGCUUAUGAAUGUCGUAAACCAAAUUAGGUUACACGGGGAGGAGUUGCUAGACAAGAGGAUAGUUGAAAAGGUGCUGGUUAGUGUUCCAGAGAGGUUUGAGUCAAAAAUUUCAUCUCUAGAAGACUCAAAAGACAUCUCAAAACUUACCUUGAUAGAAGUUGUAAAUGCUCUUCAAGCUUUGGAGCAUAGAAGGGCUAUUAGGCUUGAGGAGUCAACCAAAUGAGCUUUUCAAGCAAAAUUCAAAGACAAACAUGGUCAUAACAAUUUUGGAAAAAAAUAAUCUGGUGAAAGAAAAAAUAAAGAGAAAAAAGGAGAUGACCACAAAUGGGAAAGCAAAAAAAAGAAGGUAUCCACCUUGUUCUUAUUGCAAGAAAAGAAAUCAUAUUGAAAAGUUUUGCUGGUUUAGACUAGGGGUAAAAUGUAGAGCUUGUAAUCAACUUGGAUAUAUAGAUAAGGUUUGUAAAAACAAAGCAAAUCAAAAGGGCCAAGCUCAGGCUGAUGAAAAGCUCAAGCAAGAAGAAUAAAUUCUGUUCAUUGCUACUUGUUAUGUUGUAAAUAGUGGAAUAGAAACAUGGCUGGUGGAUAGUGGAUGCACCAAUCAUAUGACUCAUGAUGCAAGCCUUUUUAAGGAGUUAGACAAGUCCUAUGUCUUUAAGGUGAAGAUUAGAAAUGGAGAGCUUGUGGAUGUCAAAGGAAAAUGAAUGAUUGAAGUUGAAACUUCUUUAGGUACAAAGUUUAUUUCUGAUGUUUUUCUUAUACCUGAUAUAAGCCAAAGCUUAUUGAGUGUGGGACAAAUGUUAGAAAAGAACUAUAUUUUGCACUUUCAAAAUAUGUCAUGUUUCAUUUUUUAUCCUACUAGUUCUAAUUUGAUGACAGUCAAAAUGAAGAACAAAAGUUUUCCAAUAGAAUGGAAACAAUCAUAUUUGAAUGCUUAUGCUAGUGUAGUGGAUGAUUCUAUCUUAUAGCAUAAAAGACUUGGGCAUUAUAAUAAUUCAGCCUUGAGAUAUAUGCAUACAAAUAAACUUGGUUAAAAAUCAACCUGUUAUCUAUGAUAAAGUUGAUGUAUGUGUUGUAUGUCAAUUUGGAAAGCAAGCUCAAGAGCUACAGAGAAGCUACAACUAGUUCACACAGAUAUGUGUGGACCUAUGAGUACUCCAUCUCUUAAUGGAAGCAGGUACUUUUUCUUAUUUGUGGAUGACUACACUAGAAUAUGCUGGGCAUAUUUUCUCAAAAAAAAAUAGAAGUAUUAGACGCAUUCCUAAGGUUCAAGAGCAUGGUCGAAGUUAAAUCGAGCCGUCUAAUGAAGAAAUUGAGAUCUAAUAAUGGGACUGAGUACAACUUAAUGGAAUUUGCUCGGUUCUGUCAACAAGUUACAAUUCAACAAUAACUGACUAUCCCUUACACUUCUUAACAAAAUGGAGUGAGUGAAAGGAAAAACAGAACAAUCAUAGAGAUGGCUUGAUGUUUUCAGUUUGAAAAAGAUCUUCCAAAAGUAUUUUGGGUUGAGGUUGUGAACACCUCAGUAUACUUGCUGAAUUUGUUACCUACAAGAACCUUAGUUGGAAAAACUCCUCAUGAAGCAUGGCAUAGUGUAAAGCCUUCAAUUGAACAUCUUAGAUUUUCGGGAUGUGUUUGUUUUUCUUUUGUGCCAGAAGUAAAGAGAGGCAAGCUUGAUAAAAGGGCUGAAGUUGCAGUAUUUUUGGGUUAUAGUACCAACUCCAAAGGCUACAAGUUGUACUAUGUGUCUACCAAGAAAGUGUUUGUUAGCACAAAUGUCAAGUUUGACGAGCAUGCAAAGUGGAAUUGGGAGAAAAAUGAAAUUACAGCACAAACACCAAUUGUUGUGUCUCAAGAACAAAUUUCAAAAUCUGAAACUGAUACAGAAUUUGUAGUUAGGGGCACUGGAUCAUUAGAUGAGGUUUAUACUAGGUGCAAUGUGGCUACAUUAGAACUUACAAGCUAUGAAGAAGCUGCUAAGCAUGAUGAAUGGAGAGCAACAAUGAUUAAUGAGAUCAAAAUAAUUGAGAAAAACUCAACUUGGCAGCUUGUUGACCGGCCAAAUAAUUUCAAGGUGGUUGGUGUUAAGUGGGUCUAUAGAACCAAAUUAAAUCCAGAUGGUUCUAUGAACAAACAUAAGGCUAGAUUGGUGGUGAAAGGAUAUUCUCAGCAACAAGGAAUUGAUUUUUCAAACACUUUUGCUACUGUGGCGGGGAAUGACACUAUAAGACUUUUACUAGCCUUAACAGCAAUGAAAAGCUGAAAAGUUUAUCACAUUGAUGUAAAGUCAGCAUUCUUAAAUGAUUUGCUUGAGAACGAGAUAUUUAUGGAACAACCAGAAGGUUUUCAAGGUUUAGAAAAUGAAGGCAAGGUGUAUAAGCUUCACAAAGUUUUUUAUGGGCCGAAAUAGGCUCCUAGAUCCUGGUAUAGCAGAAUUUACUCCUAUUUGCUACAAUAAGGGUUUAUAAGGAGCGAAAGUGAAGCUGCAUUGUAUGUUAAAAAGCUUGAUGAUGAGAAGCAACUUAUUGUUUCAUUGUAUAUUGAUGAUUUGUUUGUUAAGGGAGAUAAUGAAGUGUUUAUAGAACAGUUCAAACAAAGAAUGAAAAGUAUGUUUGAAAUGUCUAAUUUGGGUGAUAUGAAGUAUUUAAUUGGGAUGAAAAUUCACCAAUCUGAUGCUAGUAUUUUUAUUUCUCAAAGAAAGUAUGCUCUGGAAGUUUUGAAGAAGUUCAAAAUAGAAAAUUGCAAACCAGUAGCUACUCCGCUGGUUUUGAAUGAAAAGUUGUCUAAGUCAGAUAAUUCUGAAAAGGCUGAUGCUUUUGUUUACGGAAGUUUGAUAGGGAACUUGUUAUAUUUUUCUGCUACUAGGCCAGAUAUAAUGUAUGAUGCAAGCUUACUAUCUAGAUUCAUGCAAGCUCCUAGUCAGACUCAUUAUGGUACAAAUAAAAGGGUUAUGAGAUACAUUAAAGGUAUAUUUAACUAUGGCAUAUGGUAUUUGAAGAAUGAUAGUUGCAAGCUUGAAAGUUAUGCUAACAAUGAUUGGGUUGGAAAUGUAGAUGACUGCAAAAACGCCUCGGGUUUUGUUUUUUCUUUUGGAAGUGGUACAUUUGCAUGGAAUUCAAAGAAGCAAGAUAUGGUGGCUUAAUCCUCAACUGAAGUUGAGUAUGUCUCUACUGCAGUAGUAGCUAAUCAAACCAUUUGGCUUAGAAAGAUCUUGGCUGACUUGGAACAAAAUAUUAAUAAAGCUACUGCAAUUUGGGUGGAUAAUAAAUCUGCUAUAGCUAUCAUCAAAAAUCCAGUCCAAUAUGAAAGAACUAAGCAUAUUAAUGUGACAUUUCAUGCUAUCAGAGAAGCUGAAAGACUUGAAGAAAUUAGUGUGAGAUAUUGCAAAUCUGAAGAUCAAGUUGUAGAUGUUCUGACUAAGGCUAUCUCAAGGCCUAAAUUUGAGUUUCUAAGAACAAAGCUUGGAGUCUCCCAGAAAAAUCUCAAAGAGGAGUAUUAGAUGAGAUUUUUCUUAGAUAUUCUAAAAGUGUAUGUCAACCUUUUUUAUAUUUUAGCUUGACAGAGCAAUUAUAAGCAGUCAAGCAUGAUACACCUAAUGUGUCAGUUUGUAUUUGAUUAGGAUACAUUUUUUAUGUAAUACUUGCUGAAGUUUUAGGAUAUGAUUAACCACUGCAAUAGUAGUAGCCUUUUGUAUAUUAUGCACCAAAAUCUUAAUGAAAGAUACACUAUUUAGUUUUAAAAUUUUUCUGGUUUUGUUUUCUUUUCCAACUCUCUCUUUUAUUCUGUUUCAUAACUUAAUAGAGUUAGAGCUUGUUGUUGGAGAGUAACUACUAAGAAGUUAUAGCUUGUUGCUAAGGAGAAGCUUGUGAGGAAAGAAAAGUUUAUUUCUAAUGCUCAACUGUUGAAGAGAUAAAGCUUACUGCUGAGGAAUCUUAAAGGAUUGGGCUCUAUCACAUAGCAUGGGAGCAAGAAAAAUGAGAAUCAAGUUAUACCAUGUGGCGUGGGAGCAAGAGAAAUGAGAUUCAAGUUAUUUAACUUGAUGGUAUUCCCUAAGGGUGGGAGUAAGAGAAAUAAGAGUUAAGUUAUUUGACUUGAUAAUAUCCCCUGAGGGAUUGAACUCUACCACAUGGCUUGGGAGCAAGAGAAAUUAGAAUCAAGUUAUUUGACUUGAUGGCAUUUCUUGAAAGACUUAACGGUAUCUCUUAAAAGACUAAACUUUACCAUAUGGCAUUAGAGCAAAAGAAAUGAGAGUUAAUUUAUUUGACUUGAUGGUAUUCCUUUAGAGAGUAGACUCUAUCACAUGACGUGGAGCAAAUUUGAGAAAGUAAUUACUUGGAGCAAAAUUUUGCUAUUGAAAAAAAAAACAUGUUGCUAAGAGAAAUAAGUAUAUUAUCAAUGAAGAGACAUUUGUCUGUAAGAAGGAGGAGGAGUUUAUUUGAACAUCACUAAGCAUUUUUGAAUGCUUAGUUUAUUGAUAUUUCUAUCCAUCCGUACGUUGAGGAACUAUUGGGAGAUAGUUGUUGAACUUAUAUUACCGGAGUCACUACUAAGGCCUUUGUUCUAUUAGGCUAAGUUGCCCGUAGCCUAGUUGAGAGCCCAUUGGAGGCCUCCCCUAAGCUCUUCCUUAAGCACCGCUUAAGACUCCUCUCUACCUAAUGUAAGUGCAUAUACGGGACUAUUGAUGUGUAACACCCCAAUAUCUGACCUGAUCGUUGGGUCUGAGUUACGAGAUGUCACAUCCUUUGCCAUAGCAACUCUGAUUAAAGCACGAACAAUUCAUAGCAUUCAAUAAUUAAAAUUCAGUUAAAACAUACAUUCAACAUGAAAUAAAGUCAAUUUCGGGUCUUAAACAAGCUUACGUAAGCUUUAGAGCUAAUCCAAGCUAGAAAUGAAACCUAAUUGUAAAGAAUUCAAAAUGCAGGAUCAACAUCGUGAUGUCUUCCUUUCCACGACAUGACGACGCCAAACAGUUUAUCAUGUCACAACGUCAAGCCGCUCAACGUCGUAACAUCACUUACUGUAAUGGCCUUGUCAAGACAACAAGUCUCUCGUCACACCGUGACCCUAUGGGUCACUUACUGUAAUAGAUGAUUAUGUACACCAGAUUAUAAUUCUGGAAGAUUAGUAGUCGAAGUAAAUAAUUUGUGUCCUAUGCUCAUUGGUAUAACCGAAGAAAAAAUUUGCCCAUCACUCAUCGAGUCGUAGCCAAAAUAACUCGUACUCGAUCUAUCCUAUGGCAUGUCAACUUAAGUAGCCUUUCUCUUGAACUGAAGCUCUAAUACCACUUGUCAGAACAAUUGGAAGAGAAAAUGUCGCGACCAAUUUUCAAUUAAAAUAAAAAAUUAGCUUGUCAAAAUUUUAAAAGAAUAAAAACUUUGGUUUUGAAAAAUAUGAUGUUUCAUUUAAAGAACGAAGAGUCGCCACUAAUUUUUGUUACUAGGUAUGAUCAAUUACAUAUAAAAUUAUCCUUUUGAAAAAAAAAGAAUUUUUUUUGAAGAAAGACAAUUUUACAUUUGUGUUGGAAUAUAGAAAAGGAAUUUGAAUUCAAGAAUCAGUUACGCACAAGGAAAGUUUUAACACCCUUGUAACGUCCAAAAUUGAUGCAUAGUUAAAUGUGUGUUUUCUAAAAUUCAAAUAUUAAUAUUUAAUGGUGAUGGCUGAGUCGAAAGGUGUAAUCGUGAAGCAUCAAGAUUGAAGGUAAUGGAAUUGUUUUCUUUGUUGAAAUAGUUUUCUUAAGAAAAAUUGAUAAUAACAUUGAAAAUACUUAUUAGGAUUUUAAAACAAAAACACUAAAUCAAACCCAUCAUGAUAAAAUAAUUUUUUUUCUGUUGAAAUAGUUUUCUUAAGAAAAAUUGAUGACAGUAAUUUGAUUGAAAUAGUUAACAAUAUUAAUUAUUUAGACUGAUUAAUGACAUUAUAAAAACAAAGGGACCAAAUUACAUUAAAAUUAAAGUAGAUAGCUUAAACCUUAAGUUUUAGCAUGGUUUAGGGGCCAAAAUUGAAAUUUGAACGUUAACAAAAAAAAAAACCUAAAAAAUGCAAAACUACUUAUUAGUCUAUAAGACUUUUACUGUGUGUUUGGUUCAGUGUAAUAGGUAAUCCAUUACGCCCCGAUUACGCGUCUAUUACAUUACUGACCCAUUCCGGCGUUUGGUUUGCUGUAAUAGGUAUUACGCGCGUAUUACAAUCCCGACCUAAUCCCCAAAUUCCAUGUUUUUCUAUUUCUUUCCCAAAUCGAGGAUUACCCAUUACGUCCGGCUUCCCUUCCCAACUCUCUGUUUUACCCUCAUUCCCCACCCGACCCUCUCCUUUUUCUGUCCUCAUCAUUUCUCCUCGUCUGCCUUUACCGAUUCUCUCUAUCGAUCAUUUUUUCCCUUUCAUUUGUUGCAGCACGUUUGAAAGCCACUGCUUCAUUUUUUUCUCUCGGUCUCAGCGUGAGGUAUGAAUCUUGAACUUUUCAUUUUAGUUUUCUGUCUUUGGCUUGGAUUGUGGCUGCUUUGCAUGCUGAUUUGUCUGUCUUUUCAUUUCUUCAUUUUUUCUAUCGGUCUCUGUUUUCGCCGGCUUCACUGUCUUAGAUCUUCAGUUCAACUAAUAGGCAGAGUCUCUUUUUGAACUGAUUGCUUCACUUCAUCAUCCCCAAAUUUCAGGUGGUAUUUCUAUUAUACGGAUGUGUAUAUAUUAUUAUAUAUUAUUUUCGUUUGGAUGCUUUUGAUUGACAUGCAAACGGGUCAAUGUAAUUAGGUGAUUUUCGGUACUCAUGAAACUGUUUGAUUUUUUAAAACUGUGAUAAAUAAAUAAAUAAAAAGGUUGUUGAAUGCUGUGUUUGACUGGCCUUUUAUGCGCAAUCUUAUAAGCUAUACAUUUGGUGAGUGGUUGAUCUGUUUGAUAGAGUGAUUUAACUUGGAUAUUUGUGCUUCGUUUUACUGGGGAGAGUUUAUUGAAUAGAAUUUCUCAUAAUAUAUCGAUUUUAAGUAGUAGGGGAACUGUUAGGUAUUUAAAGCGGGUGAAAUUGUAGAUUUGGGUAUUUUCGUUUUAUGAAAAGUUGUUGUGGCUAAAAGCCUUACCAAACUUUGUUUCCAAUGAUUUCAAGUUGAUUGUGAGCAAUACUGCCUGUGGUUUCUUUUGAUGUUUGCGCAUGCCAGGCUGCAUUUUGAUAACCCAAUGAAAGUUUAACUCAACUCACCUCUCAUUUCAUAGGAUAUUAUGUUUGAGAAUGAAAUGCCGCAAUUUCAUGAGUUUAUGGAAUUGAUCUCAUAUGCAUACUUGGAAUAGUUUUUUUUUUUAUUUCCUUUCAUUUCUUUCUGCUCUUAUGCAAAACAAAUGGGAGUUUGCUUUAUAGCAUGUUAUUUGAUUCAAGGACAAAUAUUAUAUAACAAGAUAUGUUAUCUGGUUUGCCAGACUAAAGAAAUGCUCCACAUGGACACAAUGAAAAGACUUCCAGUUCUGUAAUAUCUGGACUACAAACUAGCAGAUUGUGAAAAAACUAAAUGCAUUUUACUUCUGCAGUUUUUCCUGGAAAUUGCUUUCAUCUAUCUAACCUAAUAUUUGUGCUCUGUGUAUUUGCAUUUUGUUUGUUUUGCGGUUUCUAUACAAGAAAUCUGUUUUUCUUUUUUGAUAUUUGUACUCACAGAUAUUCUUCCUUGAAUUCCUAGAUUUGGAUCUUGCAAAUUAGAGAUAAUUCGCAAGAGGAACUAUGAGUUGCUUUGGCUGUUGUGAAGAGGAUGGCAUCUUGUGACAAAAUUUGCAAAGUUCUGGAUAUUUAUGAGGAGAGGCUGUCAAAGAACAAGUACUUGGCUGGUGAUUUCUUCAGCCUUGUUGACCUGAGCCACCUGCCAUUUACUCAGUACUUGGUGGGUCAAAUGGGAAAGGAAUACAUGAAAACCAGCAGGAAGCAUGUGAGUGCUUGGUGGGAUGAUAUUAGCAGCAGACCGUCCUGGCAGAAUGUUCUCCAGCUCUAUGCUCCUCCUUUCUAAGAAUUGAAAAUGAUGCAAUCUGGGGAUGGGGUCUUUUUAAUGAUGUAUGCUUUGUUGUUUAGCAGUUUGGUUUGGUUUGGGGUCUGGUCUUUGACUGUUUUAAGAGGCCAACUAGUUAUCCUAUGUUAGUUAUACUU